GUGCUUCCUCCAGCAGCACAUAUACUAAAAUUGGAACGAUUCAGAGCAGAUUAGCAUGUCCCCUGUGCAAGGAUGACACAAAAGUUUAUGAUGCAUUCCAUAUUUUA
ensembl:snRNA U6 U6 spliceosomal RNA